rnacentral:lncRNA from 1 species
CGAGGAAAUAGUGAAGCUCCGACCACUAUACGCAUCGAGGCGUGGGGUGCCAGGAGCAGCACUUCGACCUUAGGUUUGGUUUUGCCGGGCUUUACAACCAACGGUCCGACGUCGGGGAUAGUAAACCGUCGAGGGAAUAGUGAAGCUUCGACCACUGUACGCAUCAAGGCGUGGGGUGCCAAGAGCAGCACUUCGACCUUAGGUUUGAUUUUGCCGGGCUUUACAACCAACGGUCCGACGUUGAGGCCCGUAGACCGCGCAAACGUCCCCAUGGAAGGAGUAAAGUUCCAACCGGCGGCUUUUUAG